rnacentral:rRNA from 1 species
CCUACGGGGCGCAGCAGUGAGGAAUAUUGGUCAAUGGGCGGGAGCCUGAACCAGCCAUGCCGCGUGAAGGCGAGUGCCCUACGGGCGUUAAACUUCUUUUGUGCGGGAGCAAUAAGGGCCACGGGUGGCCCGAUGAGAGUACCGAACGAAUUAGCAUCGGCUAACUCCGUUCCAGCAGCCGGGGUAAUACGGGGGAUGCGGGCGUUAUCCGGGUUUUUUGGGUUUAAAGGGUGCGGAGGGGGGGCUUCAGGGUAGCGGUGAAAGACCGGGGCUCAACCCCGGGGCUGCCGUUGAAACCGGAGCGCUAGAAUUCCGAUGCCGUCGGAGGAAUGUGUGGUGUAGCGGUGAAAUGCAUAGAUAUCACACAGAACACCGAUUGCGAAGGCAUCUGACGAAUCGGAGAUUGACGCUGAUGCACGAAAGCGUGGGUAUCGAACAGGAUUAGGUACCCGAGUAGUC